rnacentral:rRNA from 1 species
CUACGGGAGGCAGCAGUCGAGAAUCUUUCGCAAUGGGCGCAAGCCUGACGAAGCGACGCCGCGUGUAGGAUGAAGGCCUUCGGGUUGUAAACUACUGUCUUUCGGGAGCAAAGUUCCAAGGUGAAUAAUCUUGGAAUUUGAUAGUACCGGAGGAGGAAGCCACGGCUAACUCUGUGCCAGCAGCCGCGGUAAUACAGAGGUGGCAAGCGUUGUUCGGAUUUACUGGGCGUAAAGGGUGCGUAGGCGGUCGUGCGUGUCGGGUGUGAAAUCCCACGGAUUAUCCGUGGAACGGCAUUCGAAACUGCAUGGCUAGAGUGCGGGAGAGGAAGGUGGAAUUCUUGGUGUAGCGGUGAAAUGCGUUGAUAUCAAGAGGAACGCCGGUGGUGAAGACGACCUUCUGGAACGCAACUGACGCUGAGGCACGAAAGCUAGGGGAGCAAACAGGAUUAGAAACCCUGGUAGUCC